CAACUCAAGAGUUUGAUUCUGGCUCAGGAUGAACGCUGGCGGCGUGCUUAACACAUGCAAGUCGAAUGUAGUUUACUACAUGGCGGACGGGUGAGUAACGCGUGAGCAAUCUGCCCAUAUCUGGGGGAUAACAGUUGGAAACGACUGAUAAUACCGCAUAAUAUUGUUUGAAGGCAUCUUCUUACAAUCAAAGAUUUAUCGGAUAUGGAUGAGCUCGCGUCUGAUUAGCUUGUUGGUGAGGUAACGGCCCACCAAGGCGACGAUCAGUAGCCGACCUGAGAGGGUGAUCGGCCACAUUGGAACUGAGACACG
rnacentral:rRNA from 1 species